rnacentral:rRNA from 1 species
UACGUAGGGUGCAAGCGUUAAUCGGAAUUACUGGGCGUAAAGCGUGCGCAGGCGGUUCUAUAAGACAGAUGUGAAAUCCCCGGGCUCAACCUGGGAACUGCAUUUGUGACUGUAGAGCUGGAGUGCGGCAGAGGGGGAUGGAAUUCCGCGUGUAGCAGUGAAAUGCGUAGAGAUCUGGAGGAACACCGAUGGCGAAGGCAGCCUCCUGGGCCAGUACUGACGCUCAUGCACGAAAGCGUGGGGAGCAAACAGG